UACGAAGGGGGGCUAGCGUUGCUCGGAAUCACUGGGCGUAAAGCGCACGUAGGCGGCUUUUUAAGUCAGGGGUGAAAUCCCGGAGCUCAACUCCGGAACUGCCUUUGAUACUGAAAAGCUUGAGUUCGGGAGAGGUGAGUGGAACUGCGAGUGUAGAGGUGAAAUUCGUAGAUAUUCGCAAGAACACCGGUGGCGAAGGCGGCCCGCUGGGCAACUGCUGACACUGAGGCGCGACAGCGUGGGGAGCAAACAGG
rnacentral:rRNA from 1 species